GGGUCUCAUUUUUAAGUUUUACUUAAGGCUCCAAAUUUAGUUAAGCCGGCCCUCAGAUCAUUCAAAAAAUAUUUUCAAAAAAAUUGAAAAAUCAAUACAUGAUAAAAUACUAUUUUGAAGUACUCGUCGAACCGCUAGUUGACUAUAAAAAUCUCAAACAAAACAAAGUCAUUUUUUUCUGAAAAUUUUAUAAUAUCAUCAAAAAUUAUAGAUCUUGACAUCCAUACGGUUGGAUUAUCGAGAAAUAAUUUUUAAGAAGCUAUAAUAGCAAUACAUCAUAAAACACUAGUUAGAAUUAUUAGUCAAACAAAUAGUUUACUGUGAAAAUCUCAAAACAAAUAAAUUUAUAUUCUUAUAAAAUUGUUAGUAAUAUCACUAAAAUAUAUACAUCUUGACAUCCAUAAGGUUAGGACAUCGAGAAAUAUCUUAAAAAAAAUAAUAAAACAACAAUACUUGAUAAAGUAUUUCAAUAAUGUGUGGGUCACCAGAUGUUACUGACAUAGCGCGUGUUUGGAAGAAAGAAGUAACCACUUCUUUUAAGUAGGGCUGAGCAUUCGGUCGGUUCGGUUCAAAACCGAACAGAACCGAAAACCGAAUUGGGCUUUUUUCUGAAACCGAACCGAACCGAAUUAUUAUUCUGGACCGAACCAAACCGACCGAAUUAUUUCGGUUCGGUUUCGGUUUAAAAAACCCGAAAUUUAUCACCUUCCACUAUUCUGGCUGAUUUGAGAAUACCAGACGUCUCAAAACUUGAAAGCAAAACUUAUCCCCGGAUGAAGAUCUAUACUCUAUACAACCUUCCCCACUCAAGAUCUGUUAGGUCCCGAUAGAUGGUUUAAUUAAGCUAGAAGGGGGGGAGGGGGUUGAAUAGCUUAAUCACCAAUUAAAAAUAUUUAUUUCGUUUUAAAAAGUUUUCACCCCUUCUUUAGAUCUUGUAUCGAGAGUAUUGGCAGUUACGUGCGGAAGUGUAAGAAAAGAAAAGGAAAAUAUCACACGAGAGAUUUUAUCCUGGUUCGUGGUGGCUAACUCAACCCUUGGAGUCCACUCACCCCUAGUCCAGUCCCCGAGCUCCUCCCCGGACUCGAGAUUUUCUCUACUAUAAAGAAACUCCUUUACAGUAGGCGGAGAAGCCUUUACAAAUAUAUAUCUUGGAGCGUAACUCUUUGUCACCUCCUCACUAUAAAUGUAACCUUACAAGACUCGUCUUGGAGCGUAACUACCCGUUACCUCCUCAAAGUCGUUGUACCUAAAAGUGGUCUUUGUACUUCCAAACCUUUUGCCGGUCUUGGAUCUUAGGUAUUAGGUCUUGGGUCUUUCCUCUUCUUCACGGUGCGAUGACUAUCAACUCCCCGUCAAUACGUCAAGGACUUGGGUCUUAGAACGAAGAUCACCUCACUUCACUUCACCUCACUGCAAAAGUUAGAACACAAUAUCCACAAACAAAUAUAUCCUUGUUUUAUAAAAGUUUUGGUUCCGCAAGUUUUAGUCCGAUUUUAACCACGUUGAAAUUAGUCGAUUAUAACGUUUUAGUCGGUGGUUAAGUCGUUGGUUCAAUUUUAACAAAUUAUAUCGCGCGGAGAAAUAUAAGUUGUUGAUUUUAAUAAAAUCGAGUGAUGAGUGAGUUUUGAAAAGACGGAGUCGAAGUCGAGCACAAGUUAUAUCACACACACUCACACGUACGUAAUUGAACCAAGUAGCUUGUUCGGUUAGUACCCCACGAUAGCGAAAAGGCCCAAACGGGGUUUUUCACCGAAACAAGUAAAAUCACACCCAACACACACGUUCGGAAAAUAAACACGUAAACCACGUAUCUUAUCUUAAUGAUAUCCCCACCAAGCACUAGGCUGAAAAAUGGGUGUUUCACUAAAACAAGAAGGGUAUGGGAGUGAUGGGAAUGGGAGCACAAAUAUGAGUUAGUGAGCAAGUAAAGUUAGUGCACAAUAUUCCCGAUAAUAACGAGUGGCCAACUCGAGUAUUUUGAAAUCAAGAGAGCUUAAGAUGACGAGAAAUUUAGUUUAAAAGCCCUUUGAAAAUGGUCGGUUAAGACACGAAUAAAUGAAGCUAAAAGUAACCACUUACACGAAAGUUCGCCGGAAAAAUUCGUCGGAGGUUCGAUACGAUUUUAAGCACACGAACGAAUUUGAGCAGCCCUUCGGGAGGUUGAAAAGAGUGGUUUAUGAAAAUGUUAAGAUGAACGAAGCUUGGUUGGGUGGAACGAAGCUUCGGGGUUUAAAACCUUGUAUAUAUAGGAAUAUAGGAAGAAUCGAAGGUUUUAAAGAUGAAGUAGAAGAAGUGGGCACUUGAAUAAACUUUGGGAGAGUGUUUCUUCUCUAAAAUCUCAGCAAGUAUUUGGC
rnacentral:lncRNA from 1 species